rnacentral:lncRNA from 10 species
GGGAGGUUAGGCUUGAUCUUAGACUAAACCAAUUAGCAGCAAGGCUCCCACUCCCCCGUCUUUCUGCCCCACCCCUGCAUCAAUGCCUGCAUUUGUAGCAGUGAACAAUCUCUAAGGUGAUUGUGCCAAGUUCUAAGCCGGGACUUUCAAAGACUUGCCUGGGUACUGCCGCCUCUGCACAUAAACUUUGAGAGCACUGUCCAGUCUGGACUGAGCCUAGCUACCUCUGCUAUAAGUCACCUUUAACGUAAGUUGCUCUUUUGGGGGCUUCCAUAGUUUAAAUAUGUUGAAAGUUGGCCUCUAACGUGAGCUUCACCCAGUAGAGCCAAGUUGCAUGGUUUAUAAAAAAUGUUAUUUCAGUUAUGUGAUAUCCUUUAAACACAGAAAUGCACUGAAAAUGGGCCAGGCAUGGUGGCUUAUGCCAGUAAUCCCAGCACUUUGGGAGGUCAAGGCAGAUGGAUCACUUGAGAUCAGGAGUUUGAGACCAGCCUGA